rnacentral:lncRNA from 1 species
AGUCUGGCAGAGCGGUGCCAGAGGGGGACAGCUAUUGUCUGAAAUUGAUUUCUCCUGGUUGGGUCCAGAGCCAACGAACGGCCUUUUAGACUGAAAAGGGGAUCGCAGCAGCUGAGAACCGUCUCUCUUACCUCGAACAAUUCCUCCUACGGAGAAAUAAGGACAGAGAGAAUGGGAGGCUGAGCUGAUUGGACUUUCCUGAGCACCCAGGGCAUGCUGGGAAACCAAGAUGGCUGCUCCAGCCCUCGAUAGCCCCCACCUGCUCACUGCCUGUCCACCAGGAGGGAUGGAGAGAUUGUCUCGUCUAGGCCAUGAACCCUAAACCUGUGUCCUAAAACCUUGGAACAUGGACAUAGGCCUGGGAUGGCUGAAUGAAUGAGUGGCCCAGCUGCUCUCCACACUACAAGGCUGCCGUAUGUUACAAGAGCCACAGUUUUCAUUGUGGUGAUCUUCCCCGUCUAACUGACGGACCAGACCCAUUUUCAGUAGUGCUAACAGCUGAGCUGUACCUUCUACAUGGCUGUCUCCUGGUGAAAAUGGCAAUCUCUCCACGCUCACAUCCUGUUCCCAGGCAUUAUCCCAGUUUUUUGCCUGCUUCUUGACUGAGGUUUGCAUAGGCUCGUUGAGGAGUUCAAGUGUUCUGAAGGGACCCUUCUCCAGGACAAUACCAUGCCUCUUUCAGGCAUCUUCCCCCUGCUCGGCUGUGGUGGGAACUAAUGAGCUUCCGAAGGGCUCUCACAGAUCCACGUGGCAUGGCUUCAUUAGGGUCUGCUGCCCUGGGAAGCUAACUGUGCACAUGGUGAAUGAAGGUGGGUUCCACAUCCCUCAUGUUGUAGACAUUGUGGUUGAACUGAACAUCUGACCCCAUUCAUAUGAGCCAGAAUUUGGCCCUGGAAAAGAAAUCAGUAUUGUUUAGCUUUUUCAUUAAUCACUGCAUUUGAAGCCUUAAGGAAAUAAUCCUUAAUUUUUUUUUCUGGGUCAUGAACUCCAUGGAGAACCAAUUGAUUGUACAGAUCCAUAUCCCAGUGUAUCUCCAUAGAACUCACCUAAUAUUUAGGAUGGAUAUUACGUUUCUUUGAGCCUUUUUAUGGCUGCUUGGAAAGCUCAGAGUCUCCUUCCCUACCACAAGACAUCAAUCUUUUAUUUGUGUGUGUGCAUAUUUUUGUGUGUUUGCACAAGUGUGGGUACAUACUUGUACAUCAGUAUAUGUGUGAGUCACACACACACACACACACACACACACACCAGAGGACAACUCUAGGUGGUACCAUGCACCAUCUCUCACCAGCUUGGAGCUUGCAAAGUAGGCUAGGCUGGCUGGCCAGUGAGCCUCAGGGAUCCUCCCAUCUCUACCUAUCCAGUGCUGGGAUCAGCAACACCAUGCUGGCUUUUUUAUGUGGCUUCUGAGAAUGAAACUCCAGUCCUCAUGCUUAUGUGGCAAGUAUUUUACUGACUGUGUCAUCUUCCCAGCUCCUACCACAGGGCAUCUUUAAGAAUGUACCCACACUUGUGGACACACACACAGAGACACACACACACAAAUAAGGACACUUGUUCACAUAUUUAUUUAUUCUCAAACUUAUUUAAAAAUAAAUAUUUAUUGGACACCUAUGAUGUGCUCUGUGUGUGUAUGUGUAUAUAUAUGUAUGUGUAUAUAUGCAUUUUUUUGAAAUGGAGUCUUACUAUGUAGCCAUGGCUGUCCUCAAACUCACUAUGUAGAUCAGGUGGCAUUGAACUCACAACAAUCUGCCUGCUUCUGUCUUGUAAUUGCUUGAAAGUGUGUACCAUCAUGCCAAAGGUUAUUAAAAUGUUUUAUAGUU